rnacentral:rRNA from 1 species
UACGUAGGGCGCGAGCGUUAUCCGGAAUUAUUGGGCGUAAAGAGCUCGUAGGCGGUUUGUCACGUCUGCUGUGAAAACUGGAGGCUCAACCUCCAGCCUGCAGUGGGUACGGGCAGACUAGAGGUAUGCAGGGGAGAACGGAAUUCCUGGUGUAGCGGUGAAAUGCGCAGAUAUCAGGAGGAACACCGGUGGCGAAGGCGGUUCUCUGGGCAUUGACCUGACGUGGAGGAGCGAAAGUGUGGGGAGCGAACAGG